AUGAACAUACGAGCUGUUUCUCUCCUGUUGCUCCUUACACUGAUGAAACUGACAAAACUGACGUGCGCGAGAAAUCCCGACGAGCACAGAGGGACUCCUCGAACAGCAGCGUCAGCGUCACCUUCAGAGCGUUCGGAUCGUGCCCAGUUAUUCCUGGUCGUGCCGGCGAGGCGUUUGCCUACCUGGGGCAGCUGGUGGCAGGUGUACAUGCUGUCGCCAUGGCAGGAAUUGGUGCCAGGUUUGGGGUCGACUCCAUGUCGAGAACUUCAGAUUGGCAGCGGUGCACGCACGACAGCGAUGGCGAGCGGCGCCAAGUGGCUAUGGCGCACUGGGAGGCGAGGAAUGAAUGAGAGGGGAUGCUCCGGGACAUGA
rnacentral:rRNA from 1 species